CCAAUAGCGUAUAUUAAAGUUGUUGCAGUUAAAAAGCUCGUAGUUGGAUUUCGGGGUCAGUAGGUUGGUCGUGCCACCGGUACGUACUGGUCUCACUGAUUCCUCCUUCCUGAUGAGCUGUAUUGCCAUUAAUUUGGUGUUGCAGGGAAUCUGGACUGUUACUUUGAAAAAAAUUAGAGUGUUUAAAGCAGGCUAACGCUUGAAUACAUUAGCAUGGAAUAAUGAAAUAGGACGUUCGAUCCUAUUUUGUUGGUUUCUAGGAUUGACGUAAUGAUUAAUAGGGAUAGUUGGGGGCAUUAGUAUUCAAUUGUCAGAGGUGAAAUUCUUGGAUUUAUUGAAGACUAACUACUGCGAAAGCAUUUGCCAAGGAUGUUUUCAUUAAUCAAGAACGAAAGUUAGGGGAUCGAAGACGAUCAGAUACCGUCGUAGUCUUAACCAUAAACUAUGCCGACUAGGGAUCGGAUGAUGUUAAUUUUUUAAUGACUCAUUCGGCGCCUUACG
rnacentral:rRNA from 1 species